GCGGGGGUUGCCUAGUGGCUAGCAGGGCAAGAAGCACGCCCACAAAAGGCGCUGGCCUGGAGAGCCAGUUCCCCGUUUGGGGAGCGUGGGUUCGAAUCCCACCCCCCGCGCCA
rnacentral:tRNA from 1 species